CACUUUUGACCUCGGAUCAGGUAGGGAUACCCGCUGAACUUAAGCAUAUCAAUAAGCGGAGGAGAUCAUUACCUUUCAAUGCAGCAUAAUUGGGAUGGUUGAGUAUCUCGCCUCUCAGUUCUGCCUGUAUUCUACCCUUGUUUGUCAUAUACUAUUAUUUCCUCGGCAGGCUUGCCUGCCGAGUGAAACCAUUUAUAACCUUUUUUAUUUUUAAUCGCGUCUGAAAAAAAUUAAUAAUUACUACUUUUCACAACGGAUCUCUUGGUUCGGCAUCAUGAAGAACGCACGAAAUGGAUUAAGUAGUGUGAAAUGCCAAAAUAGUGAAUCUCCAACCUUUAAAACACAUUGCGCCCUGGGUUUUCCUGGGGGAUGCGUUUCGGCGUUUUU
rnacentral:rRNA from 1 species